rnacentral:rRNA from 1 species
AGUGAACGCUGGCGGUAGGCCUAACACAUGCAAGUCGAACGGCAGCACAGAGGAGCUUGCUCCUUGGGUGGCGAGUGGCGGACGGGUGAGGAAUACAUCGGAAUCUACUCUGUCGUGGGGGAUAACGUAGGGAAACUUACGCUAAUACCGCAUACGACCUACGGGUGAAAGCAGGGGAUCUUCGGACCUUGCGCGAUUGAAUGAUCCGAUGUCGGAUUAGCUAGUUGGCGGGGUAAAGGCCCACCAAGGCGACGAUCCGUAGCUGGUCUGAGAGGAUGAUCAGCCACACUGGAACUGAGGCACGGUCCAGACUCCUACGGGAGGCAGCAGUGGGGAAUAUUGGACAAUGGGCGCAAGCCUGAUCCAGCCAUACCGCGUGGGUGAAGAAGGCCUUCGGGUUGUAAAGCCCUUUUGUUGGGAAAGAAAUCCAUCUGGUUAAUACCCGGGUGGGAUGACGGUACCCAAAGAAUAAGCACCGGCUAACUUCGUGCCAGCCGCCGCGGUAA